rnacentral:SRP_RNA from 1 species
GCCUCUAAGUCCCUGCUACUGGGGAGGCUAAGGUUGGUGGAUCACCUUAAUUCAGGAAUUCUGAGCUAUAGUAGGGCUAAAGUUGAUUGGGUAUGAGUAUUAAGUCUAGUACCAAUAUGGUGAGCUGCUGGGAGCAUAGGUUCACCAGGCUGCUUAAGGAGGGAUGAACCAGCCCAGGCUGGAAAAAUGGAAUAGAUUAAAGCUUCCAUGCCAAUCAGCACUGGGACAAGGCUCAUGAAUGGCAGCUAUACUUCUAGCCUGGAGGGGUAGGGAUAUCCAACUC